CCACUCAGGGCGGGCGCUGGUUUCUGUCCUAUGACAGGCGAAGAGGGAAUGUGAAGGGAAUUGCGACGGCUUUGCCGCGAAACCCGACCGCAGCCGCCCCCGCGACCGUGACCGGAGAGGGCGCCCCGAGGCCACUGGCACCAGCCGGGAAGGCGGGGCGACCGUGAGGGGACCCCCCCUCGCAUCCGCAAGCCGGGAGACCUGCCAGCGCAUGGAUUUCGGGC
rnacentral:ncRNA from 15 species